CAGAGUGUAACAGCAAGGAAACCAAAAAGACUACAAACACAAGCAGACGCAGAUCCAAAAACAAAGGCAGAGGUGCCUGAUGGCUAAAAGCUCUGGCUCCCAUUCUACAUCUAGAGACCCUCGGCACUACAAGUAGCCCUGCAUGUUGGGAGCGCCGUGUUCUAGUGGGGCAGUAUGGUGAAAGCAGUUCUUUCAAAGAAGAUGGUGCCUGACCAUUAAGGGCUUUGUAUGUAAGAAGAAGAAAGAGAUCGGGUCACCUCAGCAGCCAUCGGACCGAGUUAUGAUCCCCCUCCUCUGCCUGUUUGUCUGCACUGUGUUGGCCUGUCAGAGGUCCACUGCUCUCCUGGAAUGAGUGUGUGCUGCAGAGUCAUCUCACAAGGAGUUUGUUUACGUGCACCACAGCAUCAAUGCAUUGAGGAUGAAACCUCAUCUGACAUGCGGAACGCUAUAAUCUUGUGUUCCAGCGUUCAGAGAUGAACAUGUGCCAGAAAACAUCCGUCCUGCUGUCGUCGUCGCAGAUUGUUCAGCUCUGCAUGUCUAAAGAAUGCGUCGAACCGCAGCCUGCCGAGCCUUUUGAUCGUCGAGGCGUUCAGCCAGGAGACGUGGCGCUAAAUGAAAACAUGGCUAAGCUACAAGCUCUCGUCACUGUUCAUCACGAGGGAAGAAAUCUCAGACACCCACGAACAGCAAUUACAGAGAGCUUUGCGCUUUAACAAGCGGAGAAAUAUGAGGAGUGCUCAGUAACCAAGACAAACACUUUCCAAGAAAAACUCCCAGUGACGGACUAAUUUGUAGAAGCGAAGCUGGAGCACUCUUCAUAAUGUGUUGUUGUGUUUGUUCUCUGCUGUUGCUUUUCAGCGUGAUCUCUUCACUUUGCUGCAGAUUAGUCACCAUUGGAAGUCCUUCAUGGCUGGUCGAUGCUUCAACAGACUGAAAAAUGUCCUUUUGCAGAAUCAGCUGUGCAGUUUUAAUUUAUUAGUUUCAACAACAUAUUGAUUUUAAAGAGUUUUG